rnacentral:ncRNA from 1 species
UACAAAGCAUUGAUGGGAAAAAGUAAUCUUUGGAAAGAGUUUUAGCGAUUGAGGGAUGGUGAAAGCCUCAUACUAUACCUUUGAUGAAGAACAUCCUUGAGCUUCUAACCGAACUUCAAAAUUUAUUUUGGACAGUAGACUUAGACGGGUUUCUUUCCGUUAAAAGAAGGACAGUGUUAAGAUGCACUGUUAUUAAGUGAGUGCUUUUGUACUAACAUAGGUGGUACCGCGGAGAUGAUUAUACAGCCUUCGUCCUAUUA